UAGGGAAUCUUCGGCAAUGGACGAAAGUCUGACCGAGCAACGCCGCGUGAGUGAAGAAGGUUUUCGGAUCGUAAAACUCUGUUGUUAGAGAAGAACAAGGACGUUAGUAACUGAACGUCCCCUGACGGUAUCUAACCAGAAAGCCACGGCUAACUACGUGCCAGCAGCCGCGGUAAUACGUAGGUGGCAAGCGUUGUCCGGAUUUAUUGGGCGUAAAGCGAGCGCAGGCGGUUUCUUAAGUCUGAUGUGAAAGCCCCCGGCUCAACCGGGGAGGGUCAUUGGAAACUGGGAGACUUGAGUGCAGAAGAGGAGAGAGGAAUUCCAUGUGUAGCGGUGAAAUGCGUAGAUAUAUGGAGGAACACCAGUGGCGAAGGCGGGUCUCUGGUCUGUAACUGACGCUGAGGGUCGAAAGCGUGGGGAGCAAACAGG
rnacentral:rRNA from 1 species